GAUCCUCAUCUGUCUUUCACUGCUUUUUGCCGAUUCUCCCUAGUUGACUUAACCCUUCCUCACCUUCCCGAUCAUUUUUCUUGACCACUCUCUGCAAUAUUUUCCGGUUCCUCCUUAUAUGGUUUGCACAGAUAUUAUUGAAAUUUAAAUAAAACCUUGGUUUGCAGAAAUUAUUGAGUUCUAAUUAAGUCUAAACUUUAUGUUUGAUAGCGGGUUAUCUAAUAUUCAAAAACCUACAUAAAAA
rnacentral:lncRNA from 1 species